rnacentral:pre_miRNA from 1 species
UCACAUGGAUAAGCAAAAAAAGUGGUUUCCUGAGAUUGAAUCUACUCCUGGUAAAGAUGUUGUGAA